UACGUAGGGUGCAAGCGUUGUCCGGAAUUAUUGGGCGUAAAGAGCUCGUAGGCGGUCUGUCGCGUCGGCUGUGAAAACUCGAGGCUCAACCCCGAGCCUGCAGUCGAUACGGGCAGACUAGAGUGCGGUAGGGGAGACUGGAAUUCCUGGUGUAGCGGUGAAAUGCGCAGAUAUCAGGAGGAACACCGGUGGCGAAGGCGGGUCUCUGGGCCGUAACUGACGCUGAGGAGCGAAAGCGUGGGGAGCAAACAGG
rnacentral:rRNA from 1 species